ensembl:snoRNA
AUGCAUGAUGAGGAAAUGUGCAGUAUUCCUGCUUUUGUGGAACACUCUUACCCUUUGCAUGCAAUAUUAUAUUGCUAAGGAGUUAUCAGGGCUGCCAGCUGUUAAGUACAGGCUGAGUGGUAGUAUAUAACUCCCACAAUA